rnacentral:rRNA from 1 species
UACGUAGGGACCGAGCGUUGUCCGGAAUCAUUGGGCGUAAGGAGCGUGUAGGCGGCCACUUAAGUCCUGCGUGAAAUCUUGCGGCUCAACCGCAAGCGGUCGUGGGAAACUGGGUGGCUAGAGUGCGGGAGAGGAGACUGGAAUUCCUGGUGUAGCGGUGAAAUGCGCAGAUAUCAGGAGGAACACCGGUGGCGAAGGCGGGUCUCUGGACAGUUCCUGACGCUGAGGCACGAAGGCCAGGGGAGCAAACGGG